UAUCUGAACCUUCGGGGAACGAUAACGGCGUCGAGCGGCGGACGGGUGAGUAAUGCCUAGGAAAUUGCCCUGAUGUGGGGGAUAACCAUUGGAAACGAUGGCUAAUACCGCAUGAUGCCUACGGGCCAAAGAGGGGGACCUUCGGGCCUCUCGCGUCAGGAUAUGCCUAGGUGGGAUUAGCUAGUUGGUGAGGUAAGGGCUCACCAAGGCGACGAUCCCUAGCUGGUCUGAGAGGAUGAUCAGCCACACUGGAACUGAGACACGGUCCAGACUCCUACGGGAGGCAGCAGUGGGGAAUAUUGCACAAUGGGCGCAAGCCUGAUGCAGCCAUGCCGCGUGUAUGAAGAAGGCCUUCGGGUUGUAAAGUACUUUCAGUCGUGAGGAAGGCGGCGUCGUUAAUAGCGGCGUUGUUUGACGUUAGCGACAGAAGAAGCACCGGCUAACUCCGUGCCAGCAGCCGCGGUAAUACGGAGGGUGCGAGCGUUAAUCGGAAUUACUGGGCGUAAAGCGCAUGCAGGUGGUUUGUUAAGUCAGAUGUGAAAGCCCGGGGCUCAACCUCGGAAUAGCAUUUGAAACUGGCAGACUAGAGUACUGUAGAGGGGGGUAGAAUUUCAGGUGUAGCGGUGAAAUGCGUAGAGAUCUGAAGGAAUACCGGUGGCGAAGGCGGCC
rnacentral:rRNA from 1 species